rnacentral:rRNA from 1 species
GACGAACGCUGGCGGCGUGCUUAACACAUGCAAGUCGAACGGAAAGGCCCUGCUUUUGUGGGGUGCUCGAGUGGCGAACGGGUGAGUAACACGUGAGUAACCUGCCCUUGACUUUGGGAUAACUUCAGGAAACUGGGGCUAAUACCGGAUAGGAGCUCCUGCUGCAUGGUGGGGGUUGGAAAGUUUCGGCGGUUGGGGAUGGACUCGCGGCUUAUCAGCUUGUUGGUGGGGUAGUGGCUUACCAAGGCUUUGACGGGUAGCCGGCCUGAGAGGGUGACCGGCCACAUUGGGACUGAGAUACGGCCCAGACUCCUACGGGAGGCAGCAGUGGGGAAUAUUGCACAAUGGGCGGAAGCCUGAUGCAGCAACGCCGCGUGCGGGAUGACGGCCUUCGGGUUGUAAACCGCUUUCGCCUGUGACGAAGCGUGAGUGACGGUAAUGGGUAAAGAAGCACCGGCUAACUACGUGCCAGCAGCCGCGGUGAUACGUAGGGUGCGAGCGUUGUCCGGAUUUAUUGGGCGUAAAGGGCUCGUAGGUGGUUGAUCGCGUCGGAAGUGUAAUCUUGGGGCUUAACCCUGAGCGUGCUUUCGAUACGGGUUGACUUGAGGAAGGUAGGGGAGAAUGGAAUUCCUGGUGGAGCGGUGGAAUGCGCAGAUAUCAGAGGAACACCAGUGGCCGAAGGCGGUUCUCUGGGCCUUUCCUGACGCUGAGGAGCGAAAGCGUGGGGAGCGAACAGGCUUAGAUACCCUGGUAGUCCACGCUGUAAACGGUGGGUACUAGGUGUGGGGUCCAUUCCACGGGUUCCGUGCCGUAGCUAACGCUUUAAGUACCCCGCCUGGGGAGUACGGCCGCAAGGCUAAAACUCAAAGGAAUUGACGGGGCCCCGCACAAGCGGCGGAGCAUGCGGAUUAAUUCGAUGCAACGCGUAGAACCUUACCUGGGUUUGACAUGGAUCGGGAGUGCUCAGAGAUGGGUGUGCCUCUUUUGGGGUCGGUUCACAGGUGGUGCAUGGCUGUCGUCAGCUCGUGUCGUGAGAUGUUGGGUUAAGUCCCGCAACGAGCGCAACCCUUGUUCACUGUUGCCAGCACGUUAUGGUGGGGACUCAGUGGAGACCGCCGGGGUCAACUCGGAGGAAGGUGGGGAUGACGUCAAGUCAUCAUGCCCCUUAUGUCCAGGGCUUCACGCAUGCUACAAUGGCUGGUACAGAGAGUGGCGAGCCUGUGAGGGUGAGCGAAUCUCGGAAAGCCGGUCUCAGUUCGGAUUGGGGUCUGCAACUCGACCUCAUGAAGUCGGAGUCGCUAGUAAUCGCAGAUCAGCAACGCUGCGGUGAAUACGUUCCCGGGGCUUG